rnacentral:rRNA from 1 species
GGAAUAGCCCGGCGAAAGUCGAAUUAAUGCCUGAUGUUUUCCACGGACGGCAUCUGAUGUGGAACAAAGAUUGAUCGCUAUGGGAUGGGGAUGCGUCUGAUUAGCUUGUUGGCGGGGUAACGGCCCACCAAGGCAACGAUCAGUAGGGGUUCUGAGAGGAAGGUCCCCCACAUUGGAACUGAGACACGGUCCAAACUCCUACGGGAGGCAGCAGUGAGGAAUAUUGGUCAAUGGGCGGAAGCCUGAACCAGCCAAGUAGCGUGAGGGAUGACUGCCCUAUGGGUUGUAAACCUCUUUUAUAAGGGAAUAAAAUACGGGACAUGUCCUGUUUUGCAUGUACUUUAUGAAUAAGGACCGGCUAAUUCCGUG